rnacentral:rRNA from 1 species
AAAGCCUCUAAGCAUCAGGUAACAUCAAAUCGUACCCCAAACCGACACAGGUGGUCAGGUAGAGAAUACCAAGGCGCUUGAGAGAACUCGGGUGAAGGAACUAGGCAAAAUGGUGCCGUAACUUCGGGAGAAGGCACGCUGAUAUGUAGGUGAAGCGACUUGCUCGUGGAGCUGAAAUCAGUCGAAGAUACCAGCUGGCUGCAACUGUUUAUUAAAAACACAGCACUGUGCAAACACGAAAGUGGACGUAUACGGUGUGACGCCUGCCCGGUGCCGGAAGGUUAAUUGAUGGGGUUAGCGGCAACGCGAAGCUCUUGAUCGAAGCCCCGGUAAACGGCGGCCGUAACUAUAACGGUCCUAAGGUAGCGAAAUUCCUUGUCGGGUAAGUUCCGACCUGCACGAAUGGCGUAAUGAUGGCCAGGCUGUCUCCACCCGAGACUCAGUGAAAUUGAACUCGCUGUGAAGAUGCAGUGUACCCGCGGCAAGACGGAAAGACCCCGUGAACCUUUACUAUAGCUUGACACUGAACAUUGAGCCUUGAUGUGUAGGAUAGGUGGGAGGCUUUGAAGUGUGGACGCCAGUCUGCAUGGAGCCGACCUUGAAAUACCACCCUUUAAUGUUUGAUGUUCUAACGUGGGCCCGUAAUCCGGGUUGCGGACAGUGUCUGGUGGGUAGUUUGACUGGGGCGGUCUCCUCCUAAAGAGUAACGGAGGAGCACGAAGGUUGGCUAAUCCUGGUCGGACAUCAGGAGGUUAGUGCAAUGGCAUAAGCCAGCUUGACUGCGAGCGUGACGGCGCGAGCAGGUGCGAAAGCAGGUCAUAGUGAUCCGGUGGUUCUGAAUGGAAGGGCCAUCGCUCAACGGAUAAAAGGUACUCCGGGGAUAACAGGCUGAUACCGCCCAAGAGUUCAUAUCGACGGCGGUGUUUGGCACCUCGAUGUCGGCUCAUCACAUCCUGGGGCUGAAGUAGGUCCCAAGGGUAUGGCUGUUCGCCAUUUAAAGUGGUACGCGAGCUGGGUUUAGAACGUCGUGAGACAGUUCGGUCCCUAUCUGCCGUGGGCGCUGGAGAACUGAGGGGGGCUGCUCCUAGUACGAGAGGACCGGAGUGGACGCAUCACUGGUGUUCGGGUUGUCAUGCCAAUGGCACUGCCCGGUAGCUAAAUGCGGAAGAGAUAAGUGCUGAAAGCAUCUAAGCACGAAACUUGCCCCGAGAUGAGUUCUCCCUGACUCCUUGAGAGUCCUGAAGGAACGUUGAAGACGACGACGUUGAUAGGCCGGGUGUGUAAGCGCAGCGAUGCGUUGAGCUAACCGGUACUAAUGAACCGUGAGGCUUAACCUU